AAGUUUGAAAUGAUAAGUUGAUAAGUUCGAUUUUUUAAAGUAUAGGUCUUCAUAUUGUUGUGUUGUUCUUUUUUUGUAUAGUUGGUAAUUAAAACUCAUAAUUCUUGAUGUUAAUGUAUCAAAUAUGAACUUACCAUUCCAAGCUUUUCUUCUUAUGUUUUGCUUCUUGUUUCGUCUUAUAUUUUGCUCAUUUUUUUGCCUUUUUUCUUAUAUUUUAAAUUUUACAACGAUUCCAAUUUGUCUAAUGUAUUAAUCGAUAGUGUUGUAGUAAAAUGUAUUUUAUUUAUUAAAUUCAUUAUAAAAAAUAAUUUAAGAUUUUUUAAAAAUAUUUCACAUGGUAAUUUCGAUAAGAAACUUGGUUGGACCUAUGUAAAUACAUAAGAAGGAAGGCAACCACAUGGAUGAAGAAGGACAGCGGGAUGGAACUAAGUCGUGCUAGCGAUAUACACGGUGUUUGUUGACAAGUAUACUGGUGUUCUCCCCUCUUAAGAUCGCCAACACCAACGACAAGGCACUGCUUCACCCAUUCCACCACGGAUCGUUUCUUAGCCAAUUGACCAAAAACGAGCAUGACUGUGGUAAUGACACACUGAUGAUGGUAUGCUUAUGUUUGUGAGCCGGGAUUUUCAUACUAUUACUUCGCGCUAGAGGUUUUCUCAUCGGGAAAAUUGGAUGGCCUAUCCCUCUCUUGUUUUAACAUGCUUUGCAAUUGAACAUGUAAUAUUGGACAUUUCUUGCUCUGUUAUAGGGCCUAUAUAUACAUCCCCUUGGAUCAAUCUCCAGAAAACGAAAAUUACUUGAACAUGAGCUUUGCUUAUUUAACUACCCGGCAACAUAGCUUAAAAGUGAGGUAUUUAGGUCAUUUUUAUGUGGAUCUACGCGUAUCGCUUGAUUUUCUUUAAACUUU
rnacentral:sRNA from 1 species